UGAAUACGAGACGCUAAGGCGUCGAAGUAGUGUAUGUCAUACUUCCAAGAAAAGCUUGCACUGUCAUAAGUAAAAAAUGCCUGUACCAUAACCGACACAGGUGGGUAGGUAGAGUAUACUAAGGGGCGCGAGAUAACUCUCUCUAAGGAACUCGGCAAAAUAAUUCCGUAACUUCGGGAGAAGGAGUACCUUAUUCUAUAAGGUUGCAAUAACAAGAUCCAAGCAACUGUUUAUCAAAAACACAGGUCUCCGCUAAGUCGUAAGACGAUGUAUGGGGGCUGACGCCUGCCCAGUGCCAGAAGGUUAAAGAAGUCGGUUAGCAUUAGCGAAGCUGGUAACUGAAGCCCUGGUGAACGGCGGCCGUAACGAUAACGGUCCUAAGGUAGCGAAAUUCCUUGUCGGGUAAGUUCCGACCCGCACGAAAGGCGUAAUGAUUUGGAUACUGUCUCGGAGAGGGGCUCGGUGAAAUAGACUUGUCUGUGAAGAUGCGGACUACCUGCACCAGGACAGAAAGACCCUAUGAAGCUUUACUGUAACUUGAAAUUGAAAUUGGACUUUAUUCGCGCAGUAUAGGUGGGAGGUGUUGAUUAUAAUCUUGCGGGAUUAUUGGAGCCAUCAGUGAGAUACCACUCUUGUAAUGUUAGAUUUCUAACUUUGAAUCAUUAUCUGGUCAAAGGACAGUUUCAGGCGGGCAGUUUGACUGGGGCGGUCGCCUCCCAAACGGUAACGGAGGCGUACAAAGGUUUCCUCUGAACGGGUAGAAAUCGUAUCUAGAGUGUAAAGGCAUAAGGAAGCUUGACUGUGAGACCUACAAGUCGAACAGGGACGAAAGUCGGUCUUAGUGAUCUGACGGUACUGAGUGGAAAGGCCGUCACUCAACGGAUAAAAGUUACUCUAGGAUAACAGGCUGAUCUCCCCCAAGAGUUCACAUCGACGGGGAGGUUUGGCACCUCGAUGUCGGCUCAUCGCAUCCUGGGGCGGUAGUACGUCCCAAGGGUUGGGCUGUUCGCCCAUGAAAGCGGUACGCGAGCUGGGCUCAGAACGUCGUGAGACAGUUCGGGCCAUAUCCGGUGUAGGCGUUAGAAUAUUGAGAGGAGCCUUCUUUAGUACGAGAGGACCGAGAAGGACAUACCUCUGGUGUACCAGUUAUCGUGCCAACGGUAAACGCUGGGUAGCUAUGUAUGGAGUGGAUAACCGCUGAAAGCAUCUAAGUGGGAAGCCCACCUCAAGAUAAG
rnacentral:rRNA from 1 species